GCCAGGUGUGGUGGCACAUGCCUGUAAUCCCAGCUACUCAGGAGGCUGAGGCAGGAGAAUCGCUUGAAUCUGGGAGGCAGAGGUUGCGGUGAACCAAGAUCGUGCCAUUGCACUCAGCCUGGGCAACAAGAGUGAAAUGCCGUUUAAAAAAAAAAAAAAGGCUGAUUUUUUUUUUUUUUUUGAGAGGGAGUCUUGCUGUUGCCAGGCUAGAGUGCAGUGGCACAAUCUUGGCUCACCACAACCUCCCCAACCUGGAUUCAAGCGAGUCUCCUGCCUCUG
rnacentral:SRP_RNA from 13 species